CGCAUCCAAUCCCCUCCUCUUUCGUCUCCUCAAACCCAUCCUGCUCAGCCGCCGCCACCGCGCCUCGCGCCGCCCCUUCUCACCGCCUCAUCCUCCUGAUUCGAGCAGCGGCGACCCCGAGGCGCCAUCAAGGAUCCUAGCCUCCCGUCGCAGGGAGGAGCACAUCUGCACAUGAGUGGAAGGUCGCGGGGAGGAGCGUACAGAUGCGGAGGGGGAAGAGAUGGAGCAGCAGUGAGAGCAACAUCGUCUCCCACCUCCCACCUCGAGCUCCUCCUUGACCAGCCACCUCCCGCCUCGAGCUCUACCGUCCUCUUCGCGGAAACAGCGUCGCGGGUGGACGCGUGGACGCACGAGAACGGCGCUGCCUGUGGUUUCGCGGGUGCGCGGGGGUGCCGCCGCCGGUGGAAGCGCUAGCACGCGGGAGCAGCCCCGCCAAGGCUACCGGCGGAGGAUCAACGCUGUGUCGCGGAGCGACGCCGCCGGUACAGGCGCGAGCACAAGGGAGCAGAACCGGCCCCGCAGGUUGUCAACAAUUCAUUUCGGCAAGGUACCAGAGAAGAUACGUGACUUGAAGUUGAUAUUUGGCAUGAUGGCAUCGACACUUGAGUGUCGAGCUUUCUAAUUAUCUUUGAGCAUGGAGGAAUACAAACUGACAAAUACAAGAGCCAGGUGAACAUUAUUCCUAACUGAGCAUUUUUUUACUUAUUUUCUCCCUCUUUGGAGUUCUUCUCAAAUGUUAUUUAUUUCUCUGUAAUGAAGCACUUUUACUAUUGAAUGCAAAGUUAGUUGAUGUAAAGGAUGUUAUUUUCCCCUUUGGGGUCGACGGUGUACUACAAAAUUGCUCUAGAAUAUUGGUGGAAUAGUUCUUAUUGUUAUAUAAGAAGUGCAGAUUCAGCGACAUGUUUUAGCAGUCUGUGGUCUAACAUGUUUUGGAAAUCUAAAUGUUUCUUCUUUGUGGUGUUCUUUAGGUGAGCAACAGUGUUUUAGCAGUCCAAUUAUGUAGUAGCCUAUACAAGUUCUAUAGAUCAGCAGAAGGUUAUGAAUUUAAUGCUUUGGCAUGUUACUGCUAAUAGGAAAUGCAUACGGUGCUCACGUGAUGGUGCUCACAGGUGCGGUAUUGCAAUGGUCAGCGGCAACAUUCCAUGCCGUGUGCAGAUCAAAAAUCUCCAGCACCUAUCAGUUGGUUCCCUCGAGCCCCAGAGAUUAAUUGAGACUAGAGCUAUGAAGUAUUCUCUUUUAUUUCUUGGUCAGAUUGUUGGAUGUCAGGUAAUAUAGCUAUUGUAUUUCUUUGAUUAGGUAAAAUUCAUCGAUUGUUAUACUUGUUUUCCUAUAAUGAAGUUGAUCAAACAUGUGCCUUAAUAUAAUUUUUCUGCGUGAGUAAUUUUUUGCCUUUGGAUAACUUAUAUUUGGUACCAAAUUAAAGUUGUGCUUUACUUUCAGCGGUCGUAUUUGAGAAUGCUUUACUUCCAGUCAUUAUAGUUGUUGAUCUUCAAUAUGCUUUGUGUGUUCGUGCAUUUCCCCUUUUGUAGGUUGAAUAGUUGUACCCUAAAUA